AAAAAAAAUAAAGUCAUUUUAAAAGGAAUUGUUUCAAUUACGUGCGAGGUUAACUGUUAUAUAAACUGUGGUACCAAUUAAUUGAUUAAUUUAAAAAAGUAGCAUAGCUUGGUGUUAAGUAGUUAGCGGAGAGGUACGUAUUCGAAAAUGACGUUUAUAACAAAUUGGUUCAUAUUUUUUUUUAUUAAUUUAAUACAUUAAUUUUAUAACAGUUCGUAUAACAAAAUCUGUCAAAAUAUCAACUAUAAUUUUCCCCUCAUGGCAACGCUGAAUCUGCAAAGUCUCCACACUUUUUGACAUUUCUACAAAAGCUUAUCAUUGACAGCUGCGCUUUAUGCCUUCGCGUCAAUUAUUGUUGUUUUUCCCAGCGCAAUCGGCCGCUGCGAAAAAUCUUAUUGGAAUUUUAGUUCACCGCUCGAAUCGAAUUCAUUCACUUGUUUGUUGUCUUGCAUUCGCAUACGCGUUCGCGAAUUUCAACGCCGUAAAUUCUACAAUUUCAUUUCUUCUGUUUUGUUAAGUUUCGUUGUGUGUGGUGCCGCUGCUUAGAGAACGCAGGAUUUUUAUUUUGCCAAAAUUAACUAUUGCAACAAAUGUGAAAGAAACAGCAACAAAACUAAACAAGUUUACUUAUAAAUCUUAGCGAAAACGCAUAAAUUUCACUUUUCAAAGUUACAUGAAUCGCUUUUAAAAUAGUAAUAUUUUUCUUUGGUGGGCGUUGUGUGUCGGCGUAGUGCAAUUCGAUAUUUGAAAUAAAUAAAUUUACUAAACUGCAUUAUUGCAAAAAUAAACACGAAAAUAGUUCCGCUGCUGCCAAUUCAAGAGUGGUUCAGUUGCAACUCGAUACUGCAUUCUAACAAGCAUACGUUAAAAGAAAUUCCAAAAAAAAGGAAUUUUGCCAACGACAUUAAACAUUAAGAGAAAUUUUUAAAUUUGUGUGCACACUAGUUUAUGGCCGAAAAUAAAGGAAUCAUGCUGGCUAAAUCCGUACAAAAACACGCUGGACGUGCCAAGGAAAAGAUUUUGCAAAAUUUGGGCAAAGUUGACCGGACUGCCGAUGAUAUUUUCGACGAUCAUUUAAAUAAUUUCAAUCGCCAACAAACUAAUGCCAACAGAUUACAAAAGGAGUUCAACAAUUACAUCAGAUGUAUUCGUGCUGCUCAAACCGCUUCCAAGUCGCUAAUGGAUGCCAUUUCCGAAAUCUAUGAACCACACUGGGUCGGCUUUGAUGCGUUGCAGGCGCAGACUGGCGCUGCCGAGAGUCUUUGGCAAGACUUCGCACAUAAAUUGGCAGAUCAAGUAUUGAUUCCGUUGAAUACAUACACCGGACAAUUUCCGGAAAUGAAAAAAAAAGUGGACAAACGCAAUAGAAAGCUGAUUGACUAUGAUGGCCAACGCCAUUCAUUCCAAAGUCUUCAGGCCAAUGCUAACAAGCGCAAAGAUGAUGUCAAGCUCACCAAAGGACGCGAGCAGCUGGAAGAAGCUCGUCGCACCUAUGAAAUUCUCAAUACCGAGUUGCAUGAUGAGUUGCCCGCCUUAUAUGAUUCAAGAAUAUUGUUUUUGGUCACCAACUUGCAGACGCUCUUUGCAACGGAACAAGUGUUUCACAAUGAAACGGCUAAGAUCUACUCCGAACUGGAGGCGAUUGUGGACAAAUUAGCAACGGAUUCUCAACGCGGCUCGAAUACGCUACGAAAGCAAACUAGUAAAUUUAUGGAAAGCACUGCCUUUUCCGCUCCAAGCCCCACAAAGACGUCACCAUUCAAGCAAAUGAACAACACAAACACCACCAAUAACAGUAACUAUCAAAAUCAGAUCACCACCAAUGGCUCCAGUAAUGUCAAUAGUCCUGAAUAAAAAAAAUAAAAAAAAUUUUGACAAAAUUUGCAUUUGCAUAAAUUAAAUUUAAAAAAAAUUGCUUGCUUUAAUUGUAAGCUAAAUACAAUUCGAUUUAAUAUUUUGCACACAAAACUUGUUUCGAAAAUUAUAAUGCUUUUAAAAAUUGGAAAUCGCAAAUUACAGAGAAAAAAAGACAAAAAAAAAACAAAGUUAUACAAUAAAAGUAUGUAUGUUAUGCAUACAAUAACAUGCACUUGCAUUGCUUUAUUAGCCACGAAAAAAAUUAAAAAAAAAAAAUUAAGCACAUUUUGUCUCACUUAAUAAUAUCGAAUCGAAUUUAGCUUAUUUAUUAUGACCCUAUACCAUUUUAAUUUCAAUAAAACCCCACAUUUUAUGAGGUUGUGUGUGCCGAGUACAUUAGCCAAUUAAAUUAUAUUUAGAUGAUAAUUAAAUUAUAAUUAUAAUUUCUUAUUGACAAACAUUUUAUUUGCAGUAGAAGUAGUUAUGUUGUAGCGUUAUAAUUGCAUACGUUUAUGGCCAUAAAAUUGUAUAAUCAUAAUUUUUUUUUCAAUUUAUAAUAGUUAUAAUUUUGGUUUGCUUUAGUUUUAUAGUUAUCUUACAUAACACAAUAUAUAAGAAAAGUAAACUUUCAUGUAGUGAGCAUUUUUAACUACUAAACGUGGUUAUACAAAGUUUAAAAUUUCAUACUAAAAUUAUUGCAACAAACAGUUUCGUUAAAAGUGUCCGUUAUAUUGGUGAUCACUUUUUCCCAUUUACUCUUUGAUCAUGCCUAGAUUUGGUCAAAAGUUGAAAUUUGAGUUUUUUUCAUGAAAAAUUUAGAUAUACCAUAUCCAUAAUUAGAGCGGUGAAUACAGUGAUAAUUCGAACCCCAAUUUAUGUAAUUCGCUACAUUUUUAUUUUAUUAGAAACACAAAGAGCUAUAAACCGAUUUUAACUAUCCUUUAAAUCUUCGCUACCAAUUUUGUAGUGCGAUUUGUCUUAUGUUUCCAAAUUGAUUGCUUACUCCGCGAUUACCUCUUCAUAGUCUCAAGAUUUUUUUCCAGCAGAAAUUUUAUUUAGAUCUAAAGACACGGAAAAUAAGCCAAGGGCCAGAUCCGUGGAAUACCAAUUUUUAACAGCAGCAUUUUUUUUUAUUUCUUGUUUUUGUGCAAAUACCAAAACUUGCCUCAGAUAUGCUGUAUUUCACGAGCUAUUGCGCACUUUCAACCUGACUGGUAGCAAGACACAUUCGAUCAACUCUGAAAUUACAUUAUAAGGCUAGAAAAUUUAAGUUGUAGUUAAUUUUAUUUUGAAUCUAAAGUUUAUAAAUAUAUGGGCUUUAACGAACAUUCAAAAUUAAAAUUAAAAUAUAAUUAUAUUAAGACAUAUGCUUAUAAAUAAGCAGCAGUACGAGUGUGUAUGUGUGUUUUUUAAGCUUUGCUUUUAAUUUUGACAUCCAAAUUUUGCAUGUAAUGAUACCUAAAUUUAUUAUUUUUAUUUGUAAUUAAAUUUUAUAUAUUGCUAAAUUAUUGAAAACAAAAAUUUUAUAACAUUUGAAUUUGCAUGUGAUGAGUUUCUUUUUUUUUUCUUGUUUUCCCCAAUUUUCUUCAUUUAUAUAUAACGUUUCGUUUGGAAUGCUUCUAACAACUGAAUUCUGCAACCAACUUAACCAAAAAAUAAAAAAAAAUACAAAAUACCUAACCUCAUAAACAUACUCUGGAACAAAAUGUAAUAUACAAUUGGCUGACAAAAUUCGCAAAUCGAAAUUCGUCAAUGCACAUACGAAACAACAAACAUAAACACAUAAACAAACAAAACAAAAUACCAAAAACAAACAGCAUCAUCCACAUCCACAAGCUCCUCACAUCAAACAUCCAGGCUUGACUCAGUUUCUCCAACACCAGAAUCCACACCGGAAAAUUUGAAAGCCGCCGACAAUGCUGCUGCAGACACCAACAUCUCAAGCGCCAGCACUGGGCCAGCAUCAACGCCGGGCAGUAGCCCCUUAAUCGGCACACUAACGCCACCUCCAUAUCAAAGUGCAGCUACUGCUCUGCUUGCGAACGCUUCGAAUGCAGCGACGCUCAAUAACAGCAACAGCAAUGGCGGCGUUGAACCGCGUCCAGUUGCCACACCGGAAAGUCCCAAUGCGAACACAACGCUCGACUCUGCUGCGGCUGGUCUAAACGACAGCGCUGCCGCUGUGGAAAUCAAGUCCGAUGCUGCUAUUGAAGUGGCAGUCAACAACAAAGAAAACGAUGUCUCGAUUGCUGUGCCAGCAACAAUAACAGCGCCAAUCACACUAAAGGCCGAGGAAAGCAGCAGCAACAAUCCAAGGAAAUCGUUGAAGCUCACACCGGAACAGCUGAAUGGCAAUGCUAACGGCAACAUCAGUGAAAAUGCCGUGGCGCCGCAGUCAACCAACGCCGACGGCAACGUCAAUGCCAAUGCAAACGCCACCACAGCCGCCGCAACGGCAAUGCCACAAGCAGCAGCAACGCCGACCGAUGUGAACAACGGCAAUGCGACGGAUGAGACGAAUAAGAAAUCAGGAGAUGCCACAACAUCGGAUUUGCCAGCGGGUGUGCUUUACCGUGUCAAGGCCACUUAUGGCUACGUGAAGGAGGAUGUCGAUGAGCUCAGCUUUGAGGUUGGCGAUAUAAUACGCGUUAUUGAAUAUGAUGAUCCAGAGGAUCAGGAGGAAGGUUGGCUGAUGGGACAAAAGGAAGGCACAACCGAAAAGGGUCUGUUCCCGGCCAACUUUACACGACCCAUCUAGGCAAGCGUACAGGCGGGACGCAAGCCAACCAGCAAGCAAGCAACAAAACAGCAGCAGGCCAGUGCAACGAACAAAAGCAGAAAACAUAAACAAUAAAUAAAGCAGAACAAGAAACAGAAGCCACAUAAAAGAAAAUAUUUAUGAAAACAAAAAGUUAAAAGUUUAAGUAAAAGUAGUGAAUGACAGUUAAAGCAACCCGAAGGAUAUUUACGACAAUGGCAAAUGGCAAAUUUAAUUGGCUGCAACGAAUGGGUUUUUAUUGUUAAUUUUGUUUUUAUAAAUAUGUAUUUAUAUAUGAAUUUUUUUUUUUUCUGUAGAAAAAUCUAUUUUACUCUAUUAUCCUGAAACACACAAAAAUCGAAAAGGCAACAGUUGAAAUUUGUUAAAAGAAAUAUGUAUAUAUAAAUAUAUACAUACUUAUGUAUGUGCAUUAUUGUAUAUUUUUAUUUAAUACAUAUUUUGUAUGUAUUUAAUAUUUCUUUUUUUUUAUUGAGAAUUGCUUCGAAAUUUUUAUUUUUGCUUCGUAAAUGUUUUUUUUUUUUAACAAAUUAAAUGUAAAUUAACGCAAUUUUAGCAGAAAUUAAAUAUUUUACUGAAUAUUGGCACAUAAAAAUAUUUUUUUUUAAAUUUAGGCAAAAAAACAAAAUGUUCGCAAGCACUACAAUUUUAUUAUAAUUUUUUUUCAAAAAUAAAGUAAACCACAUUAUUUUUAAAGCCGAAGAAUUUCGUAAGUUUGUAAAUGUCUGCGUUUUGCUUUGGCGGUGUGUUUCUUUUUUCAUUUUUGUUUCUCCACAGCGCUUCCUUAUAUUAUAAUUGUUGAAUGCGAAUAGCGUGCUUCACCGUUAUUUCAAUUCGAUAUGCAAUUUAUUUAUUCGUUUAUGAACAUAACCGUUUUCGUUUAUCAACAAAAACUUAACAGAAGUCAAAGUUGAGUAAAAUUUUAUUGUUAUUGUUAAUUUUUUAAUAUAUAUACAUAUAUAGAUAUAUAUACAUAUACUAUACAUAUGUAUAUACAAAUAAUAAAUAACUAAGUUUCAACUGAGCAUAUUAUAAUUAAAUAACAGCUGGUCAAAAGCGCUGAAUAAUAUUUAUUAACAUGAUAUUUAUUUUUAUGAAUGUAAUGUGAUUGGAAUUUAAUUUAGUAAACAAUAAACACUUUGAUAAAUAAUCGAUAGCUGCAAUAAAAAAUAUUUAACUAUUGGUUUAAGAAAUUUUACGAAAAAAAAUUUUUAAUUCGUUUAAAUUUUUUUAAUAUUGUUGAAAAGAAGAGAGCAGUUAUAUAAUAUAAUUAAUUUCUUUGAAAAAAAUACAGUUAAAAAAGUAAUUAUUUUCCUUACAGCGAACAAUAGAUAUGGAAAAAAGUUAUUAACUUCCUUAAAGCGAAGAUAAGUGUUGAAUAAUGGUAAACUAGUUGGUAUACCAACGAGUUUGAGGCAUAUAUAAAUCGUAUCAUAUUCAAUGAAAAAGCAUAAAUAAAUGAAAAUAAUUAAUUUAAUACAUACUUAUAUACAAUCUUAAAAAUUUAACCAUUUUCUAGUAAUGAUUAAAAUAAAGAAAAAAGCAAACAAGUUGACGAGGCCACAAACCUGUUUUCAGGCAUUUUUUCGCUAUUCAAAAUAUUUAGGAAAAUCAACAUACAAGUUCGACGCAAAUAUACACUUUACAUAUUUGCCACCUUGGUAGUCAGAAUUUUUGCGCAAUCCAUACAUAUGCACUUUAAAAAGUUAUAUGUAUGUUUAUGCAUAAAUAUUAUUGAAAUAUAUAUGAAAUAACAGUCUACUGACAUUAGUAGUUAAGCGUAUAAAAUUAAAAAGAAAAAAUAUGAAAAUUAAUAGCGUACCAACAUAAAAAUAAUAAUAAUUUUGAUAUACUUACAUAAAUUAUGAUAACAGUAAAAGCAAGUAUAAAAGUCAUAAGACGUAACAACCAUUUUUUGACAUAAAUAUAAUACAGUUAUAAAAAGUAAAACAAAAAAAAGUAUAAAUAAAUGAAUAAAAUUGAAUAAAUCCAGUGCCAACAUGUAGCCGAUCGUGCGACUUCGCUAUAAAUCACAUUUUAAAAAUCAAAAGUCAUUUGCUGAGCCAAAAGUCUUAUACAUACUUAUUGUAUUUGAAUCGGUGAAAAAUAAAUAAGUUAAACUAAACUUCUUUUAAAUUUGUUAAUUUUGCGCAAUUGCUUAUGGUGAGUUGUUAAUUUUCUCACGUUAUUUUUAGUAACAAUUUACAUACAUUCAUAUAUACAUACAUACAUACAAACAUAUGAAUAAUUGUUAUCCUUAAAAUUUAGUUGUAAUAACAGUGCAUCCAUCCUAUAUACUACAAUGCCAAAAGAUUAAAAAAACACACCCACACACACAAUAUUUGCACAACUUCUGUGGCAUUGUAUUUUGCUGCUAAUAUAUUUAAUUUUGCAAUAAAAGUUUUGUAUUCACUACAUAUGUGUAUGGAUAUUAUCCUUUGUUAAAUCUGAUCAUAAUUUCAUUUUGAGUGUGUGCAUAAACAAUACAAAACUACUUGUAUAUUAAAUACAAUAUUUAUGAAUAUAAAACAAAACAGACCAUUGUAUUUAGUAUUUAGUUGUAUCUAAUUGUACGUAUAUACAUAUAUUAUUUACAACCUGAACUGGUCAACUUUCAAAAACACUACAGUUUACGGAACAAAAAUAAAUAAUUGAACUAAUAAAAACUAAAAA